rnacentral:rRNA from 1 species
GAUGAACGCUGGCGGCGUGCCUAAUACAUGCAAGUCGAGCGAACGGACGAGAAGCUUGCUUUUCUGAUGUUAGCGGCGGACGGGUGAGUAACACGUGGAUAACCUACCUAUAAGACUGGGAUAACUUCGGGAAACCGGAGCUAAUACCGGAUAAUAUUUUGAACCGCAUGGUUCAAUAGUGAAAGACGGUCUUGCUGUCACUUAUAGAUGGAUCCGCGCUGCAUUAGCUAGUUGGUAAGGUAACGGCUUACCAAGGCAACGAUGCAUAGCCGACCUGAGAGGGUGAUCGGCCACACUGGAACUGAGACACGGUCCAGACUCCUACGGGAGGCAGCAGUAGGGAAUCUUCCGCAAUGGGCGAAAGCCUGACGGAGCAACGCCGCGUGAGUGAUGAAGGUCUUCGGAUCGUAAAACUCUGUUAUUAGGGAAGAACAAAUGUGUAAGUAACUAUGCACGUCUUGACGGUACCUAAUCAGAAAGCCACGGCUAACUACGUG